rnacentral:lncRNA from 1 species
CGGCCUUUUAUCACGGUUUUUCUUUUAGAGGCAGGGUCUUGCUGUGUCACCCAGGCAGAAGUGCAGUGGUGCAAUCAUAGCUCACUGCAGCCACAAACUCUUGAGCUCCAGAGAUCCUCCUACCUCAGCUUCCCCAGUAGCUGGGACUACAGGCAUGCACCACCAUGCCCAGCUAAUUUUUAAAUUCUUGGUAGAGAUGGGGUCUGGCUAUGUUGUCCAGGCUGGUCUUGAACUCCUGGUCUCAGACAAUCCUCCCACCUCAGCUUUCCAAAGUGCUGGGAUUCUAGGCAUGAGUCACCUCAUCCAGCUAAAUUUAGACUUUUUGUCAUGGACCACAACAACCUACAUGGCUUACCCCUGUUGAUGCCUCUAGCCCUGUCUCCCACCACCCUCCUCCUCACUUGCUCACCUCAGGCUGCUCCAGGCCACUCCUUCCACAGGCCAAGCAACUUCCCGUCUCAGAGCCUUUGCACAUUCUGUUCCCUCCAUCCACAUUCCUUUCCUCAGCUGUGCCCACACCAGCUCCUCAUCCUCCAACCCCAGCUCUGCCCUGAUGGUCCACUCCUUUGCACCACAAUCAGCCACCUCCCCUAGAUCACUCUCCAAAGAAUCAUUGAGUGCCUGUUAUGUGUGAUGAUUUUCACUAUCAUUCACUCCAUCUUCCCAGUAAGCCUUAAAGAGAGCUGGAAGACUUCUGAGUGAAAUCACAGCUAGAGCCCCCAACUCGCACCCAGGAAAAUCCCAGCUGAAAUCUCAACAAAGGAAAUGUCUUCUGGAAUGAAUGAAAUGGGAAAGAAUUGGGAUAAGAGAAGGCAGGACCACAUGUUGUGAGUCCCCAGUUGGGACACUCUCUGGAAGCCUCCAGUUUCUCCACUACAAAAUGGGAAUCAUGACAAGAGGUCCACCAGAUGCCCAUGGGAAGACCACCAUGAAAGACCGAGUCUCGACCGGGCGCGGUGACUCAUGCCUGUAAUCCCAGC